rnacentral:ribozyme from 13 species
AAGGAGAGGGAGAGAGAAGAAAUCAGAAUAGGAGAAUAAGAAGAAGACAUUCUUCUUCUGGGAUAUUACUCGGGUCGGAACCUUCUCUUCCUUCUUCUCUUUCCUCUUCUCUUUCCUCUCUC